rnacentral:rRNA from 1 species
GACGAACGCUGGCGGCGUGCUUAACACAUGCAAGUCGAACGGUGAUCUUGGGAGCUUGCUCCUGGGUGAUCAGUGGCGAACGGGUGAGUAACACGUGAGUAACCUGCCCCUGACUCUGGAAUAACUUCGGGAAACCGAAGCUAAUACCGGAUAUGACACAGAGCCGCAUGGUUUCUGUGUGGAAAGUCUUUUCGGUUGGGGAUGGACUCGCGGCCUAUCAGCUUGUUGGUGAGGUAAUGGCUCACCAAGGCGACGACGGGUAGCCGGCCUGAGAGGGCGACCGGCCACACUGGGACUGAGACACGGCCCAGACUCCUACGGGAGGCAGCAGUGGGGAAUAGUGCACAAUGGGCGAAAGCCUGAUGCAGCGACGCCGCGUGAGGGAUGAAGGCCUUCGGGUUGUAAACCUCUUUCAGUAGGGAAGAAGCGCAAGUGACGGUACCUACAGAAGAAGCACCGGCUAACUACGUGCCAGCCGCCGCAGUAACAC